UACGAGAGGCGCAAACGUUAUUCGGAAUUACUGGGCUUAAAGAGUUCGUAGGCGGCGCGGAAAGUAGGGUGUGAAAGCCCUCGGCUCAACCGAGGAAUUGCGCUCUAAACUGCCGUGCUUGAGGAACCUAGAGGUGAGCAGAACUGAUGGUGGAGCGGUGAAAUGCGUUGAUAUCAUCAGGAAUACCGGAGGCGAAGGCGGCUCACUGGCUCGGUACUGACGCUGAGGCGCGAAAGCGUGGGGAGCAAACAGG
rnacentral:rRNA from 1 species